AGGUGAAGCCUUGCAUGGAGAUGGAGAGCCUCCCUUCAUCUGAUAGCCAAGAAUGACUUGCCUAUGCAAUGCCUCUGCUAACUGAUCCAUCUCACCAUCGGCUGGGAAGCCCCUGUGAUGGAUGCAGUUUGUGUGGUUGCCUGGGUGGGUCUUCUUGGCUAACCAGAGGGGCUCUCAUCCACCAUGCCAGGCCAUCCCUCUUCAAGAAACAAAAAUGAAAAAUCUCUCUGAAGCCACUGGAUUCGAUCUCCUUUGCAGGUGAGAAUCAAAUGCUGUUUCUUCAGGUGGGCAACUCUUGGAUUCAGAAUUCAGUCACCAUUGUGUGGUUAUUGGGGAGACUCCCUUUGGUGCAUGCAGGGUUUGCCAGGUAUAGUAGUACGUGCGACAGCCGUCACCGGAUCCAAGAAUUGGACAAGCUUCUUUCUGCCAGACCGAACGGACACGAGGAGUUUGUGCGGCGCCACACGUGUGACAUGAAGUACAGCACACACACGGACGUGGCCCCGUCCCGACGUGUGCCCUCGCCGUGAGCACGUUGCACAGAGGGAGGGUUUCGUCUCCAUCUGUGCAAGUGUCAUGUUCCACGCUGCGAAUUAAGAUUUGUUUACGGGCGACGUAGAAACAAAGCUGAAAAAUGCAAACAAGAAUCCGGAUCUUUCUAGGGCGUGUUUUUUUUUACGGAUAGGGCGUGUUUGGUUUCCCAUACGGAGGUCGAUAGACUGGCUGCAUAUAGAGAAAAAAAUUCGCUAACGGUGUUUGGUUAUUUGGCUCGCAUCAAUUCCGUGUAUUGCACAAUGUUUAAAGCACUCUAGGAUCAUGCUGAGGAGAAAUUCCCACAUUAUCGGUUUUCAUUCAUGCAAACUCGCACGGAUCACAAGGUGAGAAAAAUUCUCUUCUUUUCCGUGUCAGACCAUAUGCUCCUCUCACAGCGUAUAUGGGAAGCCGCCGCUACUAAAUGUGUGAGUCUGUAUGCUGCAAAACCUCACCAACCACCAUACAGGUAACCAAUCAACAUGUAUACGUCGUUUUUUGCAAUAUUUUUCUUCAACUAGGCCCUGCUUAGCCUGUAUCGUUUUCCUCAUACAGCCUCAUCCUAUGGUUGCAGGCAACCAAACACGUCCCUAGUGUACAAAAUUCUAGCCAGCAGGGAUCGCUCGCCUUUGCCGCGCCACUUUAUUGUCCAUAGGGUAUUUUUUCUGGAUGAGGGCAUUUCUAAAGCUGGACCGCAAAUAUGUUCCGGCAUUCGUCCGCGGACAAGGGGUCAGUCCGCGGACAUUGAUGCGGGAGCAGAACAUCCAAAGCUGCUUGCAUACAUUUCAUCAACUGUUUGAACUAACCAUACAAAAUUCAUGCAAAGACGACAUAUUUCAUUAAGUUUGGAUAUAAUUUACAUAACGGAUGAUUUUUUGAUUGUUUUACUAAAAACUAUAAAUACCAGAUGACUAUCUCGUACGCGUGGCCGCUUUGUCCUGCCGCACCACCAUCGUCGUCUGUGUCCUCGUCGUCCCUUCAGUGACGCAAUGUUGCUUGAGGCCACGACAGCCUUGUCCGGUGGCUGCCUGCCGCUCGCGUAGGAGCGGCUCCGCCUCCUAUUGCAUGGUGCGGAGAGCCGCCUUGGCCACUGUCGGCGGAGCCCUAGCGGCGGCGUUGCCCCUGCCGGCGUUGGCGGAGCAAUCGCUAAGCGAUCACUCCUUGCCGCCCUCCCGUUCGGUCAAAUCGCGGACAUCAAUGUCGACCGUUGCAUGCUGUGGGCCGAUACGAAUGCGGAGUGGCAAGCGGCGCCGACGUCCGAUGGAAAGCACGGGAGAGGCGGGUAGGAUUUUUUAUGGGGCAAGGCGGUCAGACGCGGGCGUGGCAGCGGUCCGGAGCCCGCAACCCCCGUAGUUUGUCUCCGGUUUGCGGGAAAAAACACGUCCGGAUCGCUGGACGGACCGACAGAACCAGCAUUGGGUGGUACAACACAUCCGGAUGCGCGGUUCGAACGUAUGCGGGUGGUUUGAGGGUCGGCGUUGAAGAUGCCUUAAUCUUAUGUUUUGGACCGCAGCCGGCGAACAUUCUCUAGGAGGGGUUGGUAUUUACGAACAUUUGAGGUGACAAGUUUAGACUGUGUACUGCAAUAAGUUUGGCCCGACUCCACUGAGGGAGGGGGUGAUGGCGAUGGAGCGCCUUUGUCUCGCUUCAGUGCUUGUAGUCGUCGUUAGGUGGUCUACAGAUAUGGAUGUAAUUUUUAUUAUUUUUAUGUUCUUUGUACUGCGAUGCUAUGAUGAAUAUCUCGGUAAUUUUCUCGCAAAAAAGAAGUAUGAGGUUGGCAGUUUCUUCAUAAACGCAUGCCAUUUGCUGUAAAAAAGGCAGGAUUUACCCUCUCUUCCCAACUAAAUUUGCAAAAAAAGAGCAUUCCCUUGCCAUUCCCUCCCAGCUGACGUUUGUCAGAUGUAACAUUAUCGUAUGCUUCUAAGUUUUUCUAAACGCAACACCUUCUCUUGAAAUAUUUUUAAUAAGCAAGUAACCAAAUACUCCCAUGAUUCCAUGAUGUAGUGCAUAUAUCGAAAAUU